rnacentral:tRNA from 1 species
GGGGCUAUGGGGUAGCUUGGCAAUCCUCUCUGGUUUGGGGCCAGAUGACCCCGGUUCGAAUCCGGGUAGCCCCA